AGCAGUCGCCGCGGUAAUACGUAGGUGGCAAGCGUUGUCCGGAUUUAUUGGGCGUAAAGCGAGCGCAGGCGGUUUCUUAAGUCUGAUGUGAAAGCCCCCGGCUCAACCGGGGAGGGUCAUUGGAAACUGGGAAACUUGAGUGCAGAAGAGGAGAGUGGAAUUCCAUGUGUAGCGGUGAAAUGCGUAGAUAUAUGGAGGAACACCAGUGGCGAAGGCGGCUCUCUGGUCUGUAACUGACGCUGAGGCUCGAAAGCGUGGGGAGCAAACAGGAUUAGAGACCCCAGUAGUCCCUGUCUCUUAUAU
rnacentral:rRNA from 1 species